rnacentral:SRP_RNA from 1 species
CCGCACUAACUGGGGAGUCAGCGGUGCCCUGUACCUGCAACCCGCUACAGCAGGAGUGAAUUCCGACCCCCGGUCUCGUAAUGUGUCGUCAGCCUUUCUCAGGAGGCGUUGAAGGAACGGUCUCGCGCAACGGAUGCCUGCGAACCAUGUCAGGCGGGAAACCGAGCAGCAUUAAGUGGGAAGUUCCGUGUGCCGCGGGGAAGCUGUUCCUGAGCCGAAUGGGCGAUCAGCGGGCAUAUUGCGUGUAUCAAAGGUCGGUGUGCGG